GACGAACGCUGGCGGCGUGCCUAAUACAUGCAAGUAGAACGCUGAAGGAGGAGCUUGCUUCUCUGGAUGAGUUGCGAACGGGUGAGUAACGCGUAGGUAACCUGCCUGGUAGCGGGGGAUAACUAUUGGAAACGAUAGCUAAUACCGCAUAAGAGUAGAUGUCGCAUGACAUUUGCUUAAAAGGUGCAAUUGCAUCACUACCAGAUGGACCUGCGUUGUAUUAGCUAGUUGGUGAGGUAACGGCUCACCAAGGCAACGAUACAUAGCCGACCUGAGAGGGUGAUCGGCCACACUGGGAGUGGGACACGGCCCAGACUCCUACGGGAGGCAGCAGUAGGGAAUCUUCGGCAAUGGACGGAAGACUGAGCGAGAAACGCCGCGUGAGUGAAGAAGGUUGUCGGAUCGUAAAGCUCUGUUGUAAGAGAAGAACGAGUGUGAGAGUGGAAAGUUCACACUGUGACGGUAUCUUACCAGAAAGGGACGGCUAACUACGUG
rnacentral:rRNA from 1 species